CAGCCGCCGCGGUAACACGUAGGGUGCGAGCGUUAAUCGGAAUUACUGGGCGUAAAGCGUGCGCAGGCGGUUCGUUAAGACAGAUGUGAAAUCCCCGGGCUUAACCUGGGAACUGCAUUUGUGACUGGCGAGCUAGAGUAUGGCAGAGGGGGGUAGAAUUCCACGUGUAGCAGUGAAAUGCGUAGAGAUGUGGAGGAAUACCGAUGGCGAAGGCAGCCCCCUGGGCCAAUACUGACGCUCAUGCACGAAAGCGUGGGGAGCAAACAGGAUUAGAUACCCCAGUAGUCCCUGUCUCUUAUAC
rnacentral:rRNA from 1 species